ensembl:lncRNA
ACAAACACUUCUCUGAUAGAGAAACAAGGUCACUUAGUCCUACUAAAAGUAAAUAAAUAAAAAGUAAAACCUGCAGAAAAUGUCUGGAAAGUCUUUGAAGGAACAGUAACCCUGAGCAGUUUUCUGACUUCCUAAGGAAGAGAGAAGGCAAGGAACCAAAAAGAAGGAAGUGCAGAUAAAUUCCGAGCCAUGGCAGAGCAGGAGAUACAGCUCCCGUUCAGAGCAGGUAAUUCACAUCCUUUUAAGGUUGGAAGUGAAAAACAGACUACAGAAUGACAGGAGAAAGGAAAAUGCUGGUUUUCAUGGCUUCAUCACUGUUGAACAGAGCAGCCUUAGGUUGGGUCAUUUCUUUGUGCCGGAGGACUUUUCAAAGGAUGCUGAAGCUUUCAUACUACACGGCUUACAGUGCAGAUGGAACAGGACGUGUCGUUAUGUUUACUGUGUGUGGCUGUCAGUGCUUAGCAGUAAGGUGUGCUUGGUUAUUAGCAAUGUCUGGUUCCUGUAUCACGAACCCUACGCCUGCAGCUUUUCUCCUGCCUUUGCCUCUCAGCUGUGAAUUACUGCACUGGUGUGUCUGUGCUCAGGACUACCCAGAAGGAAACACACAAGGCCCAUUUCUGGACUUCAUGAGCUACAAUGUUCGGUGCUGCACAGGUGAGCAUGGUGUGGACAGCAGCACAUGGAUGGGCAUGUCAGGGAAGUACCACAGGGAAGAGCACAGCAAUGCCUUCGAUUCCCCCAGGCUCUUCUCAUAACAUCCUAUGCAAAAUGUCUGCAACAUGGGGAUGUUGAGCAUAGCAAAAGCACAAGCACUAGCAUCGCCAGUGGAAACACUUAUCUGGAAAGAAUGUUCUUCAUUGCACCAUUGGGGAAAUUAAAUCAAAUUAAGCCGUUUCAUUUGUUGGGGUAGGAGAUUAUUCCUCAUUGUGCCAGCAAAUUCUUUACUUGCCUCCAUAAGGAAUUCAUCCAAAGUCUGAAUUUUGAAUGGCUCCAAAAUAAAACUAAUUUAAGCAGUG